rnacentral:rRNA from 1 species
GACGAACGCUGGCGGCGUGCUUAACACAUGCAAGUCGGACGAGGCAGGGGGAGCUUGCUCCCCCUAGCCGAGUGGCGAACGGGUGAGUAACACGUGACCAACCUGUCCCAGGGUGAGGGACAACCUGGGGAAACCCGGGCUAAUACCACAUGAUGUCUCGUCGUCGCAUGGCGACGAGAUCAAAGAGGGCCUCUGCUUGCAUGCUCUCGCCCAGGGAGGGGGUCGCGGCGUAUCAGCUAGUUGGUAGGGUAACGGCCUACCAAGGCUACGACGCGUAGCGGGUCUGAGAGGACGGCCCGUCACAUUGGGACUGAGAUACGGCCCAGACUCCUACGGGAGGCAG